UCGGCGAGUAGAGCAGCGCAAGGGUGAGUAAUAUAUGGCUAACAUACCCCAUACAUGAGAAUAACUAUUAGAAAUGAUAGCUAAUGCUCAAUAGUUUCUUAAGGCCGCAUGGUCUAAAGAAUAAAGGUAGGGAUCCUUCGGGACCUUCUGGUUUGGGAGUGGGUCAUGGGCUAUCAGCUAGUUGGUGAGGUAAAGGCUCACCAAGGCUAAGACGGCUAGGCGAUCUGAGAGGAUGAUCGCCCACAUCGGGACUGAGACACUGCCCGGACUCCUACGGGAGGCUGCAGUCGAGAAUCUUCCGCAAUGGGCGCAAGCCUGACGGAGCGACGCCGCGUGAGGGACGAAGGCUUUAGGGUCGUAAACCUCUUUCGCUUGUUAAGAAAAGUGUAUGUUAACAGCAUGCACCCUGACAAAGGCAAGUAAAGAAGCACCGGCUAAAUCCGUGCCAGCAGCCGCGGUAAUACGGAUGGUGCAAGCGUUACUCGGAAUCACUGGGCGUAAAGCGUUCGUAGGUGGUUCAUUAAGUUGGAUGUGUAAUCCCACGGCUCAACCCGUGGAACUGCGUUCAAAACUGAUGAACUAGAGAGCAGUAGGGGACAAGGGAACUUCACGUGGAGCGGUGAAAUGCGUAGAUAUCUGAAGGAACACCGAUGGCGAAAGCACUUGUCUGGGCUGAUUCUGACACUGAGGAACGAAAGCUAGGGUAGCGAACGGGAUUAGAUACCCCGGUAGUCCUAGCCGUAAACGAUGGAUACUAGCUUGUGGGAUCUUCGGAUUUCACUUGCGUAGCUAACGCGUUAAGUAUCCCGCCUGGGGAGUAUGCACGCAAGUGUAAAACUCAAAGGAAUUGACGGGGGCUCACACAAGCGGUGGAGCAUGUGGUUUAAUUCGAAGCUACGCGAAGAACCUCACCCAGGUUUGACAUGGAUGAAUUAGGUCUGAGAAACCAGACUGACACCCUUCGGGGCGGAACAUUCACAGGUGUUGCAUGGCUGUCGUCAGCUCGUGUCGUGAGAUGUCGGGUUAAGUCCCUAAACGAGCGAAACCCCUAUUGUUAGUUGCUAGCGAGUAAUGUCGAGGACUUUAACAAGACCGCCGUGGUUAACACGGAGGAAGGUGGGGAUGACGUCAAGUCAUCAUGGCCCUUAUACCUGGGGCUACACACGUGCUACAAUGGGCAGUACAGAGGGUUGCGAAGUCGUGAGGCUAAGCUAAUCCCUUAAAGCUGCUCCUAGUUCGGAUUGUAGGCUGAAACUCGCCUACAUGAAGCUGGAAUCGCUAGUAAUCGCGGGUCAGCAUACCGCGGUGAAUAUGUUCCUGAGCCUUGUACACACCGCC
rnacentral:rRNA from 1 species